GACGAACUCUGGCGGCGUGCUUAACACAUGCAAGUCGAACGGAAAGGCCCUGCUUUUGUGGGGUGCUCGAGUGGCGAACGGGUGAGUAACACGUGAGUAACCUGCCCUUGACUUUGGGAUAACUUCAGGAAACUGGGGCUAAUACCGGAUAGGAGCUCCUGCUGCAUGGUGGGGGUUGGAAAGUUUCGGCGGUUGGGGAUGGACUCGCGGCUUAUCAGCUUGUUGGUGGGGUAGUGGCUUACCAAGGCUUUGACGGGUAGCCGGCCUGAGAGGGUGACCGGCCACAUUGGGACUGAGAUACGGCCCAGACUCCUACGGGAGGCAGCAGUGGGGAAUAUUGCACAAUGGGCGGAAGCCUGAUGCAGCAACGCCGCGUGCGGGAUGACGGCCUUCGGGUUGUAAACCGCUUUCGCCUGUGACGAAGCGUGAGUGACGGUAAUGGGUAAAGAAGCACCGGCUAACUACGUGCCAGCAGCCGCGGUGAUACGUAGGGUGCGAGCGUUGUCCGGAUUUAUUGGGCGUAAAGGGCUCGUAGGUGGUUGAUCGCGUCGGAAGUGUAAUCUUGGGGCUUAACCCUGAGCGUGCUUUCGAUACGGGUUGACUUGAGGAAGGUAGGGGAGAAUGGAAUUCCUGGUGGAGCGGUGGAAUGCGCAGAUAUCAGGAGGAACACCAGUGGCGAAGGCGGUUCUCUGGGCCUUUCCUGACGCUGAGGAGCGAAAGCGUGGGGAGCGAACAGGCUUAGAUACCCUGGUAGUCCACGCUGUAAACGGUGGGUACUAGGUGUGGGGUCCAUUCCACGGGUUCCGUGCCGUAGCUAACGCUUUAAGUACCCCGCCUGGGGAGUACGGCCGCAAGGCUAAAACUCAAAGGAAUUGACGGGGCCCCGCACAAGCGGCGGAGCAUGCGGAUUAAUUCGAUGCAACGCGUAGAACCUUACCUGGGUUUGACAUGGAUCGGGAGUGCUCAGAGAUGGGUGUGCCUCUUUUGGGGUCGGUUCACAGGUGGUGCAUGGCUGUCGUCAGCUCGUGUCGUGAGAUGUUGGGUUAAGUCCCGCAACGAGCGCAACCCUUGUUCACUGUUGCCAGCACGUUAUGGUGGGGACUCAGUGGAGACCGCCGGGGUCAACUCGGAGGAAGGUGGGGAUGACGUCAAGUCAUCAUGCCCCUUAUGUCCAGGGCUUCACGCAUGCUACAAUGGCUGGUACAGAGAGUGGCGAGCCUGUGAGGGUGAGCGAAUCUCGGAAAGUCGGUCUCAGUUCGGAUUGGGGUCUGCAACUCGACCUCAUGAAGUCGGAGUCGCUAGUAAUCGCAGAUCAGCAACGCUGCGGUGAAUACGUUCCCGGGGCU
rnacentral:rRNA from 1 species